rnacentral:siRNA from 1 species
CCGCUGUGGUUACAUCCCCG